GAAAAAGUGAAAAAGUAAAGCCCACCCAGCAAACAUCAGGGCCCCCGGGUUUUGGAGACCUGCUUUUCCCAAGGGUGCCAAAGGCAUUCUCGAAAGCACCUUGCGAUAGUGGUGGCGCCGUGCGGCUGGGGCGGGGCGGGACAGGGAGGACAGACGUUCUGGCUUUAAUACAGCAGCUCUGCCAUGAGCUUAAAUAAUUAGCAAGACUGCGUCUGCCUUCCCCCCCGGGCCUGACAGGCGGUGACAGUCGGGGCCUGGCUGCCCGCAGAUGGAUGGGGAUUGCCUCCGCCAUCUGUCUUCCAAAGGAUCCUGUAGGUCCAGCUAUUAUUUCAGUCAGACACUGGCAGGCGGGCAAUUGUUCGCAGCCUCUGUGAGGAAUAGCGGCUGUCAAGAGUUUGCCCACAGCGGGUGGGACGUGAUGGAUGGAUUAGAGGCCCACACGCAGCACUCACCUCCGCACUCCGAGGCGCCCUCCUGCACAGACAGGGUUGAGUAGGGCCCCACUGUCCAACCUCCCCUCUGGAGCAGGAGAUGUUUCUGAAAGGCCAGCACCUUGAGAACCAAGUUCAAGGGGAGAAUGGAAUGACUGCUCAUUAAGCCUGGUAAAUAUGGCAAGAAACCCUGAAAUGCACUGUUUUCCCUUUUU
rnacentral:lncRNA from 12 species